UCACAUUUUCAAGAUUUUAUUCAAAAACACCCGUCUCCCCUCUCUCUUCCAUUGGGACAAAUUCUCUGUGUUUCUCUUUCAUGGCGGAGAAUCAAGAAUCUUUGGGAAAACCCAAUUUACAGACUGAAUUAGAGAAGAAGAUUCCAGUGUUUACAGUGCUAAAGAAUGGAGCCAUCCUCAAGAACAUCUUUCUUCUUGAUUAUCCCCCACCUAUAACCACAGCUUCUGCUGAAGAAACGAAACCAGAUUUUGAAGAGAUUUUGUCGGUGGUUGGACGACAUCCAGAUUGUAACAUAGUCUUGGAACACCCAAGCAUCAGCAGAUUCCACCUCCGCAUUCACUCGAAUCCCUCUACUCACUCCCUCUCUGUUAUUGAUCUGUCUUCUGUCCACGGGACAUGGAUUUCUGGCAACAAGAUUGAACCAGGGGUUCGAGUAGAUUUGAAAGAGGGCGAUAAGAUGCAGCUUGGAGGUUCAAGCAGGGAGUACAGGCUUCAUUGGAUUCCAAUCAGCCGUGCAUAUGAUUUGGGGAAUCCAUUUGUAGCUCCAUUAAGUGAAGCAGAAUCAGUGAAAGAAGCAGAGGAGAAAAAACAUCAGGAUGAGAGUGGCUUUGCCCUUCAGAAUGAGGAUGAUGAUUCAGCGCAGGUUCAAGAUUCAGCAUUUUCUGAUAUGAGUUUGUUGCCAUAUGGAAAAAGCUUGACUCCAUCAGCUCCUCCAAUGCCUGAAUAUUUGGAGUCUUCAUUUCCUGUUGGCGACGAGGCAGUAAAUGUAAAUCCACCUGAGAAAAUACAUGGAGAGAGUGAAAUCAGUUUGAUACAGCCUGCUUAUGAACCUGACAAAGAAAACAGCACUCCACGAGCGCUUCUUGUCUCAGGAGGGUCCCAAACAGAAAAUGCAGAUAGUACUCCAGUAAGAUCUCAGCAAAGAUGUUUGAGCAUUUGGUCUAGAAGAGGAAAAUGUUCCAGUGUUCAGAUUCAAACAGGUAGAGAUAGAGCAAUUAUUGAAAAAGUUGACAUUGAUAAUGAAGUUAACUCACUUAAUCGUGAGAAGGUUGGAAUGGGAUCAGUUUCGAAUGAUCCUUUUUCUAGUGCAAACAAGGAUGAAGAAGAUGCAUUCACUCCAGACAAAGAGAACCAUACUCCUAGUUCUCUCUUCCUUGGGUCCGAGGUGAAUGAACAAGCUACUAAACCUGUCCUUUCUUGUUGUACGGAUGAGAAUGCUGAAGAGAAUUUUCAUCUGGACAGAGUGGAUCUUACCCCAAACGCUCAUUUGCUGCAACCUAUGAAGAAGAUGAGCAGUUUGGAACAAAAUAAGCAUCGAAAACCUUUUAGAUCCUCCCAUAUGAAAGAGAUUUUUGAUCCCACACUCCAUGAAGCUGAAGGUCUUAAAUACCACAAGAAAGAGAAUAUCGGAUCAUCUACAGUGCUCUCAAAUAUGAGUAACAAUAGUGAAGAAAUUUUCACUCCAGACAAAGAGAAUAUGACACCCAAUAGUUGUUCAAUGAGAUCGAAAAGGAAAGGGAAAAUGGUGGAGGUUAAGCAUCUAAAACCAUUUGAGAAAGAAAACUUGACUGGCAAAGUACUUGAAGAGCAGAAAUCAGCAAGUGUUGCUUCCAGAAAUGUGGAUAGAUCGGAGGUAAAUAUACUGAAGAACAGAACAGAUAGAGUGCCAUUUCAAUCUCUGCUUGUGAACUCCCCCAGCAACACCAAUUCAGAAUCUCCAGAACGGCAAGUCAAGCUGAAUGCUAAUCCAAUCAAGUGUCAACAAAUUAUGGAAGCAGGCCCCUUUUCUGAUAACAAUGCCAGGGAAGAGAAAAGAAGGUGGACCAUGGUAGUGGACACCGUUUCUUUGUUAAACAAAGAGUCAAGAAAAGCUUUGCAGCUUUUGCAAGGUCUCAAGGGGACUUACCUGAUAAUCCCCAGAAUUGUCUUAAGGGAACUGGAUUGCAUGAAGAGGCGUGCUGGCUUUUUUAGGAGAGCAACAGAAGUCUCUGCAGCACUAGAAUGGAUAGAAGACUGCAAGGUAAAUGCAAAAUCAUGGGUUCAUGUGCAGAGUUGUGUGGAGGAAGCAAGGCCAAUGGCACCGACUCCUCCUGCUACUGCACCACCGUCUUUGUUCAGUAAGGAGAAUGGCAUCUUUCCAGUCGGUUCAGUUCUAUCCUCUCCACAUUGUGGUCUAGCGGAAAUUAUUUCACCCACAGCAGAAGAUCAUAUCCUUGAAUGUGCCCUCCUAUUCAAACGAACUAGCAGAGAUGGACAACUAGUUCUCCUUAGCAAUGAUCUUACCAUGAAGAUCAAGGCCAUGGCAGAAGGUUUAAACUGUGAGACAGCAGAAGAUUUCCGAGAGAGUCUGGUGAAUCCAUUCUCAGAGAGAUUUCUUUGGAAAGACAGCUCUCCCAGGGGAAGCACUUGGUCAUGUGUGGAUGACUUUGUUCUUGGGGAGCCAUAUUAUCCUGGACCUCUAAAGAAGUCAUCAAAGUCAGGACAAGCAGCAAAAGGCUUGAAGCUGAUAUUGCUUCAUAAUUCUCAUUAUAGGCAAAUCUGUUCAGGCAGCGGCAGUUAGCUGAGUAGAGUAGUCCCCGUAACCAAUAGAAGCUGAACCACUUAGCCUAGCCAGUGCGCGUCCGUCCCCCCUUCUUAUUAAAGAUGUUGAAGAUGAAUUUCAGAUCUUCUGGCUGCAUCUAAACCUGUAAAUGGCCAUUGUUUCAAUCUCUUGGAACUUCUGUUUGUCAAUGCACUGAAAUUGAUUCUAGAUGAGUCAGAGACUUUCUUCAUGAAAUCAGGGGACUGCUCAACACUUUGGUAUAUGGUUGUUAUCAUCUGAUUUGCUCGGCAUCUACCCUGAUACUCUUGCGUAAGUAAUUAAGGAGCAGUUUGUUAAUGAAAUUUGUUUAUAUCGCAAAGCAGAUUAAUAGAUA